GAUGAACGCUGGCGGCGUGCCUAAUACAUGCAAGUCGAGCGAACGGACGAGAAGCUUGCUUCUCUGAUGUUAGCGGCGGACGGGAGAGUAACACGUGGACAACCUAACUAUAAGACUGGGAUAACUUCGGGAAACCGGAGCUAAUACCGGAUAAUAUUUUGAACCGCAUGGUUCAAAAGUGAAAGACGGUCUUGCGGUCACUUAUAGAUGGAUCCGCGCUGCAUUAGCUAGUUGGUAAGGUAACGGCUUACCAAGGCAACUAUGCAUAGCCGACCUGAGAGGGUGGUCGGCCACACUGGAACUGAGACACGGUCCAGACUCCUACGGGGGGCAGCAGUAGGGAAUCUUCCGCGAUGGGCGAGUGCCUGACGGUGCAACGCCGCGUGAGUGAUGAAGGUCUUCGGAUCGUAGAGCUCUGUUAUUAGUGGGGAUCAUAUGUGUAAGUAACUGUGCACAUCUUGACGGUACCUAAUCAGAAAGCCCCGGCUAACUACGUG
rnacentral:rRNA from 1 species